AGACAUAUGUCAAGGGUAGCAAAAGCGUUGGUUGAAGAAAAAGGUCUACUUUCAGUACCUGAAUCAAAAUUAGGGAGAAAAAUUGCAGAUCAAGUGAAAUUGAAAGUUGAAAAUUUUUAUAAUGAUGAUGAGUACAGUGCUCCGAUGCCAGGUAUGAAAGAUUUUGUUUCAGUUCGAAAUGAUGAUGGUAAUCGAGUACCCGUCCAAAAAGACUUGUCCUGUCUAACUUAAAAGAAUUAUACCAAUGUUUUCGGGAAAUAAACGCUGCAGAGAAAAUUGGAUUUUCGAGAUUUGCUUCUCUGCGACCUAAACAUUGUGUGUUAGCAGGGGCAAGUGGAACACAUACCAUCUGUGUCUGUACGAUCCAUCAAAACGUUAAGUUAAUGAUGCUUGGUGCGAAUAUUCAUUCUCUAACAAGAAAUACAGAUAUAUCCAUU